AUUACAUGGCCCAAUUAUGAAUAAUGCUCAUUUGGUCAUAAUAAUAUAAAUGCUGAAUACUGAUAAAACAAAAAAUUAUGAUGUGUCUUUAAUAGGAGGAUGUGAGGCGGAGAAAUAUGGAUGGCAGGUAGAAGGAGCUGUAAGAGAGCUAGAGCAUCAUCUUCCAUAGCAGUAGGUAGAUCCAUAAUAUAUAAAACUGAAAAAGAUGAGAAAAUAUGAAAAUAACAGUAUAAGUAUGUUAGUAUCAACAUAGAAACACAGAGAAAUAUGCCCAAAGAAUCCACUAAAAUAGUUAAAACGUGUUGGUCUAUAAUAUUUGCAAGGAGAGGAAACCAGGGGUCUGCUGUUUUUCGGGAUAUACCUUAUGUGACUUUUUAAACAAUGUACUUUGGGAAGAAGAUAGGGAUGAGAGGGGACAGGAGGAAGGUGAGCAAGGGAAUAACAUGGUCAGAUCUCCAUUUUAGCAAGAUCACCAUGGUCUGAUUUCCAAGUGUAGGUUGGAAGAGCUGAGAGGUAAAGUCAGUGAGGUCAGUUGAUAGGCCGUUAUAACAAGAAGAGUAAUGAUAAAGUUUAUGAAGAGGAGAAAACUGGAGAUGGGCGAUUGGGGCAGGAAGUCAAGCAGAGUGAACCAUGAGGGUGAGUAUUGGGCUAGAGAGUAACUCUCCCUCUUCAUUUUUCUCUCUUCUCUCUCCUUCUUCUCUUCACCCUUGCCCUGAUCAAAGCUAAGCUCUCUCUUCCAAAGAUUUCUGGCCCUUCCAACAGGGCUAGCCCAGGCCAACUAGUGAAUCUCACCUGCACCUCAACUGGCUUCUUUGCCGAAAACAUAUAUGUGAAAUGGCUCAAAAAUGGCAUAGAGCUUCCAGCCUUUCAGACCCAGGUCUUCCCGCAUGCAGAUGCUUCCUCCUACACCGUCAUCAGCACUGCUACAGUGACCCUUGGCUUCUCCUCACUCCACUCCCAGGUCACCUGCCAAGUGGCUCACAGUGAAUUGCAGAGUCCCCUCAGAGGGCACGUGAACAUCUCCCAAUUUCUCCAAGGUACCCCUGUGUGCAACUCCUUCCUGCUCCUUUGCUGGAACUUUCUGCCAUCUGUGUCCUUAGGAGGAGCCUUUCUUCCAGGAGGACUGGACUUAGAGGAGGACCUGCCAUGAUGUCUGUAGCUGCUCCCUCAGCUUCUCUUGCCUCAUCAGCCUUCUGAGACCUGAACAGCACUGGCCAUCCCUCCCUGUCUCCUGCAGCCACCAGAGGAAGGGAGCACCUAGACUGGAAAGGUCAACAGUGAGAGGGAGAUUCUCAUGCCUUACCCAGGAAUGAAUUUUCUGUGGCAAGUCUGACCUCAGAGUCCAUGAUACUGACCAGGAAACCCAGCAGAGGCAGGAUAGGCUCCAACCCUGAGGAAAAUAGAUGCCUGCAUUUCUGAUGGCUCCUUCCUGGCUCAUCAAGGAAAGCCCAUUGCUCUGCCAUGAAACCCAAGCUCUGCCAUGAAACCUCUACAGCCCCAUCAUUAAAACUGAGUUAAAUGAAACACUUAUGGCCAAUAAACAUAUGAAGAAAUGGCCAACCUCAUUAGUAAUCAGGAAAAGCCACGGCAAAACCACACUGAGAUGUCAUUUUGUCCCUGUUCAAAUAGCAAAAGUAAAGAAGCCACUGGAUCUUUUUUGCAUUGCUAGUGGGCACAUAAAUGGACACAGCUGUUUUGGGAAACAGAUUGGAAAAUUUUGUUGUGUUAAACACUCACAUACCCUAUAACCUGGCACUUCCACUCUCAGGUUACACUCAAAAGAAACUUGCACAUGUGCACCAGGAGAUAUGUACAAAUAUGUACAUGGAGACAUUGUUUAAAAUUAGCAAAACCUGAGAACAAUCCAAAUGCCCAUCUGCAGUACAAUGUGUGAUAAACUUAGUACAC
rnacentral:lncRNA from 1 species